rnacentral:lncRNA from 1 species
CUGUAUCUUUAUCCAAAUAAGAGAAGAUCGCCAUGACAAAAGACAACAUCAUGGUCUAGAGAAGAAAAGAAUUAAUUACAAAAAACGGUUCAAAAAAAUUGUACUGAAAACUACCAGGCUCAAGUUAGCAGACACUCGCUAGCAUGAAAAUUAGUACGAACAUCCGUCAGAGCUCCCUUCUAAAAUCAGGAGUUAAAUCGGAUGCUUCUUCUAAAAUCAGAAAUUAAACCGGAUGCUCAAGAGUCCCUUGCUAAAACAGGUUUCAAAUUGGAUGCCUCCUUGCUCAAAUAAAGUUUUUAAAAAAAUGUUAUCUGAUGUUAAUUUGAUA